rnacentral:lncRNA from 1 species
GUCCCUCUCACUAAUGACCAUCUCUCCUGCAGCCACCCUAGCCACCCCUCACCCUCCACAGGCCAGGCUGACACCCUGGCCUCAGACAAAAAUCUCCUCAGGUCCCUGAGGUGGGAGAACUGGGGGGCGCAUCUCUGCCCCGGCCCCCUCCCUGGACAUCCUCUCCUGCGGAGCCCCCCGAGGGCCUUUCCGGUGCCGUGUGCCAGCCCGUCCCGCAUCCCACAGCCCCAGCUGUUGACAUUUCGUUGCCAUUACCCACGGGACAAAGAAAGGGGCCCCUGUUGUUCAACAAUAGGGAAAAAGACAGAGACAAAGGGAAAUUGUGCUUCUGAGCUUCCGACGGGGUGGGGACAGAGGAGGAAAGGACAGACAGACGGACAGACGGGGGCUGGACAGAGGGCACUAGGUUCCUUGAGGCGGCUGGAAGUCCUGGAAGUCACUUUCCACCUUGACAGCCUCUUCCCAAAGGCAAUGUGCAUCCAGGCCCCCAGGGGCAGAGGACCAAAGGCUGCUACCCAUCACUGCUUUUGCCUCCGGGCAGAGACCGGCUUCUAACAGACCACCAUGCCAAGCUGUCUCACGCUGCCCGAACUGUGCAACUUCCUUCUCCCCUGGCUGCUCACCGUCUCCCACAGAGCGCUGGGGGACCCAGGUAAGACCCAGGCCGGCCCGGACGCUGGGACCCGGGGCUGAGGCUCCAGCGGGCGGUGUGGAGAGCAGGCAGCCAAG